GUGUGUGUUCUCCUCUCCUCACUCCUGUCCUCCAUCUGUGUUUACUGCUACUGUUCAGCUCAGACCUCAGGUUCUUCAGAUCUACUCACAGCAGAUGUUAUUAAGUGGGAUCUAAUGGAGAAACAUCAGUGUGAUUUGAGGAAGACUGGAAACAUCUGCCUCCACACUGAAGUCUCUUAUAGACUGCUAACAUCUGAACAUCCCUACGCCAAGAUGUGAUUCUACCUGCUCGAUUUAUACAACUGUAUUUAUUUCUUUGAUACUGACACUUGUCCUUGUUGAACUCAUACUGUCUUUUUGUGGGCACAGUGGGCCAAGGCCAUACCAUACCAAACAUACCAGUGUGUGCUUUGCUUUUACACGGUUUGCUUUUUGUUUCUUUGUGUAUUUAUAUUUUGGGCUCUGUGUAGCUGUAUUAUUGUAUUAUUGUAUAAUUGUUUUCUAUUUUGUAAUAAAUCCAUCGAUUUGAAAUCCUUUUGACUACUGUACAUUUUCGACAACAUAGACUAGAGGUACCCAACCUUGUUCCCGGGGAUCUACCUUCCUGCAGAGUUCAGCUAUGGGUCACUACCAUUCAUACACUACAAUUCAAAAUGCAGAAGUGUGAAAGAGGUCUACUGGAGGAAGUGAGAGACUAUAUGUUUUUGAAUGGGUACCUUCCAAAUGUAAUGUUGUUUUGGGACAAACUGGGUUAGAGAUAAACUUAAGGCUAAUAUAUUCAUACUAUACGUAUUCAGAAUCCCACAUUUUAUUCAGUCAGUCUAUUAAGGUGUAUCAUGCAGACGU